rnacentral:misc_RNA from 1 species
AUGCGCGGAAACAUGAAGAGGCAGAGAAGCGAAAAAGAGAGGAAGCUGAUCGGAAGUCCAAGUUAGAUGCUAUUGCAGAAAAGCAGAGGCAACGAGAGCUAGAACUUGAAGAGAAGAAAAGGCUGGAGAGAGAGGUGGUCUUGGGGAAAUCCAUGCCUAUGUCACUUGAGCCUUCAACUAUAGGUCGUCCCUCAGAAGCUGGAGCAACUGCACCUGCAGCAACAGCAGCUGCACCUACUCCCGGUAAGUUUGUGCCCAGGUUCAGAAG